rnacentral:misc_RNA from 1 species
UUUAGGGAGACCUACCCAUUGAAGAAUCGAAAGCGGAAAGCGAAUAGAGAAUCAAAUGGUCUACUCUAGGUCGGUCGAGAAUUGGUCAAGUCUCUUUCAAAGUAUUAUAUUUCCGGUGAUCCCCAGCAACUAGGAAAGACCUAGACUGCUGGUGAUGAACCAGCCAGAACCUUGAAAACUGCAUAUAGAAAGAUAAGAGUAAGAGUAAGUGGUCAAGCUAAUAAGGGCUCAUGGUGGAUACCUAGGCACACAGAG